CCUACAAAUUAUUUGCCCUGCAAUUUAUGAGGUAAGUUGUGAAAUUUUGCACCAAGUUAUAAUGAUCCUCGUCGAACCUUUGAGGUUGGUAAACUAAGCGCGGUGAGCGGUUGCCAUGGCGAUAGAAGAAUAAGAUUGCAAGGGGCUGAAGCCAGGAUGAAAUGAUGAAUACGAGGCCCUAAGCUGAUGGGAUCGCUUUAAGUGCCUCUUGAAGCCUCGGAAUUAUUUGCGCAAGGAAUUAUUUGCCUUACACAUUGGUGAUUGGUAGCAUCACUUGACAUUAACCCUUGGAUGAGCAGGCUGUUUUUUUUUUUUUUGUUUAUUCUUUGUCUUGUGGCAGAAUUAAUGCAGAGAGCAUCUUUAAAAUGGCUGAUUUCCAGGAUAAGGUGCUCGAAAAUGUCUUUAAGUGUGUCGAGAGGAGUUACUGGAAAGAUAUUUUUGGCAUUCGGAUAUUCGAGUUUAAUGCAGUUAGUAGUCAAAUUUAAAGGAUUAGCAUCUAGAAAGGGUAGAAAAAUAAAACCAUCAUGACAUCUGCAUAGACUGAAUAUGAUAAUGACUUCAUGAGAGUGAUCGAUCCCAAACUUUUUUGACAUGGAGCCACACACACAGCAACACACACAAGCUUCAGUGUCAUCGCGCAAGGCUAAGUUUUUCAACUCCCGACUUUGUUUGGAGACAAAGUACUGGCACCACGUAUGGACAAACUGUCUGGAGCCUCAAGGACGUGCUGUUUUCUAGUGAAAUACGCGAUCCAGCUCCCCAGCCCACACAGACGUCCACAACGAACAAACAAGACGCCGCACCGGAGGCAGUUGUGCGUCGACUGAAUUGCCAUAUAUAUCACGCAAAGAGGUUUUUUGUGAAGGAGGCACGUGCACAACUUAUCGUAAAGAGAUGGGCGGCAUGAACAGAGGAAAUCAGAGAAGCCUCAAUCCGAUCUGUUGAGCAGAACUGCUUUCAGACAUGAGGCUGGGGGGAUAAUGCCGCAGAUUGAUUAAGAAAGAGAGCUGUGAAAGUAGAGACACAGAGACAAGAAUACCUCCUGCAAGGACAAUGGCAACGUUCAUACGAGGGUCUAGUUUAUUCCCUGCCAAGUGUAAGAUAGCAGUUAUGUCACUAAGUGUUGUUCUGUUCUGUGCACAUGACAAGUACACACACACACACACAAAAAAAAAAAAAAGC